rnacentral:rRNA from 1 species
CCGAUCUGUGAGCGGGCGUGGACUGCAUAGAAGUGAGAAUGUCGGCUUGAGUAGCGAAAACAUGGGUGAGAAUCCCAUGCACCGAAACCCUAAGGGUUCCUCCGGCAGGCUCGUCCGCGGAGGGUUAGUCUGGACCUAAGGCGAGGCCGAAAGGCGUAGUCGAUGGAUAACAGGUCAACAUUCCUGUACCGGUUAUGUUUUGGGAAGAGGGACGGAGAAGGCUAGCCAAGCCAGAUGUUGGUUACUGGUUCAAGCGUUCGAGGCGUUGAGGAUCGGCGAAAACGAUCCGAGCUGAGGCGUGAGUACGAGCUGCUACGGCAGCGAAGUUGGUGAUGUCAUGCUUCCAAGAAAAGCUCUAUACCCGUUAAGGCAUAACUGCCAGUACCCGAAACCGACACAGGUGGGGUGGUAGAGAAUACCGAGGUGCGCGAGGUAACUCUCUCUAAGGAACUCGGCAAAAUGGCCCCGUAACUUCGGGAGAAGGGGUGGCUAGCCUCGGUCUUAUCUUUGAUUUGAUUGAGGAGCUCGCAGUGACCAGGCCCAGGCGACUGUUUAUCAAAAACACAGGUCUCCGCAAAGUUGCAAAACGACGUAUGGGGGCUGACGCCUGCCCAGUGCCGGAAGGUAAAGGAAGUUGGUUAUUUGACUCUUGAGUUCAAAGAAGCUGACCACCGAAGCCCCGGUAAACGGCGGCUGUAACUCUGACAGUCCUAAGGUAGCGAAAUUCCUUGCCAAGUAAGUUUUGGCCCGCACGAAAGGCGUAACGAUCUGGGCGCUGUCUCGGAGAGAGACUCGGUGAAAUAGAAAUGUCUGUGAAGAUGCGGACUACCUAUACCAGGACAGAAAGACCCUAUGAAGCUUGAAGGUAGCUUGGAAUUGGGUUCGGGCUCUUUUUGCGCAGUCUAGGUGGGAGGCGUUGAUGGUAGGGUUUCGGCCCUAUCGGAGCCAUCAGUGAGAGACCACUCUGAAAGAGCUAGAAUCCUAAUAGUAAUCCUUGAAGCAGGAUACUUGACAGUUUCAGGCGGACCUUUUUACUGGGGCGGUAGCCUCCUAAAAGGUAACGGAGGUGUGCAAAGGUUCCCUCAGGCUGGACGGAAAUCAGCUGUAGAGUGUAAAGGUAGAAGGGAGCUUGACUGCAAGACCUACAAGUCGAGCAGGGGCGAAAGCCGGCCUUAGUGAUCCGACGGUACCGAGUGGAAGGGCCGUCGCUCAACGGAUAAAAAGAUCGGAAGAGCGUCGUGUAGGGAAAGAGUGUAGAUC